rnacentral:rRNA from 1 species
AGAGUUUGAUCAUGGCUCAGGACGAACGCUGGCGGCGUGCUUAACACAUGCAAGUCGAACGAGGUCCAACCUGUGGCAACACAGGAGAAGACCUAGUGGCGAACGGGUGAGUAGCACGUGAGGAACCUGCCCCGAAGUCUGGGAUAACCCCCCGAAAGGGGAGCUAAUACCGGAUGCCCCCAUCUGAUCGCAUGUUCGGAUGAGGAAAGGAUUCUGCUUCGGGAGGGCCUCGCGGCCUAUCAGCUUGUUGGUGAGGUAACGGCUCACCAAGGCGACGACGGGUAGCUGGUCUGAGAGGACGAUCAGCCACACUGGGACUGAGACACGGCCCAGACUCCUACGGGAGGCAGCAGUGGGGAAUCUUGCGCAAUGGGCGAAAGCCUGACGCAGCAACGCCGCGUGCGGGAUGACGGCCUUCGGGUUGUAAACCGCUUUCAGUGGGGACGAAACAAGACGGUACCCACAGAAGAAGCCCCGGCCAACUACGUGCCAGCAGCCGCGGUAACACGUAGGGGGCGAGCGUUGUCCGGAAUCGUUGGGCGUAAAGAGCUCGUAGGCGGCUCGGUAAGUCGGGUGUGAAACCCCCAGGCUCAACCUGGGGACGCCACCCGAUACUGCUGUGGCUAGAGUCCAGUAGGGGAGUGUGGAAUUCCCGGUGUAGCGGUGAAAUGCGCAGAUAUCGGGAGGAACACCAGCGGCGAAAGCGGCACUCUGGGCUGGAACUGACGCUGAGGAGCGAAAGCGUGGGUAGCAAACAGGAUUAGAUACCCUGGUAGUCCACGCCGUAAACGUUGGGCACUAGGUGUGGGGACCCUCCAACGGUUUCCGUGCCGUAGCUAACGCAUUAAGUGCCCGCCUGGGGAGUACGGCCGCAAGGCUAAAACUCAAGGAAUUGACGGGGCCGCACAAGCAGCGGAGCAUGUUGCUUAUUCGAGGCAACGGCGAAGAACCUUACCUGGG